rnacentral:rRNA from 1 species
UACGAAGGGGGCUAGCGUUGUUCGGAAUUACUGGGCGUAAAGCGCACGUAGGCGGCAUUCCAAGUUGGAGGUGAAAUCCCCGGGCUUAACCUGGGAACUGCCUCCAAAACUGGGAAGCUCGAGUCCGAGAGAGGUGAGUGGAAUUUCCAGUGUAGAGGUGAAAUUCGUAGAUAUUGGAAAGAACACCAGUGGCGAAGGCGGCUCACUGGCUCGGUACUGACGCUGAGGAGCGACAGCGUGGGGAGCAAACAGG